CAACUACUCCCUCUGUUCCAAAUUUCUUGUCUUAGAUUUGUCUAGAUACGGAUGUAUCUAAUACGAAAAUGUGACUUGAUACAUCCAUAUCUAGACAAAUCUAAGACAACAAUUUUGGGACGGAGUGAGUACUUU
rfam:Triticum aestivum genome assembly, contig: Triticum_aestivum_CS42_TGACv1_scaffold_093779_2AL